rnacentral:tRNA from 1 species
GGGCCCGUAGCUCAGUUGGUAGAGCACGUCCCUGAUAAGGACGGGGUCAGCGGUUCGAAUCCUCUCGGGCCCA